UGGGCAGAAGGGGUGAGGGAGCCGGAGGUGAGGCGUCUGGGCUGUCAGCGACCCGCGAGGACUUGAAGUAGACGCGGCGGCGUCCGCAGUGGCUCCGGGCUCCCGCCCGGGUGCAGCUGCAGCGGGAGGGAAGGAACGACAGUCCGAGUGGCGCUCCUUCCUUUGUGUCUGGGUUGGAAUACUCAUCUCGGCGCCACGGGACUGCGUGGGCCGCCUGCGGGGGUGACGCCUCCUCCGCAGGUCGGAGAUUCCCGGGGGUCUUCAGGAGCCCCCCCGGCUGCGGAGGCCCAGCUCAUGGUUGACAGAGAAGGAAAAAUUUGAGGGAGGAUGGAUGCAAAAGCUCGAAAUUGUUUGCUUCAACAUAGAGAAGCCCUGGAAAGGGACGUCAAAACAUCCUACAUCAUGGAUCACAUGAUUAGUGAUGGAGUUUUAACAGUGUCGGAGGAGGAAAAAGUAAAAAAUGAGCCCACCCAACGGCAACGAGCAGCUAUGCUAAUUAAAACGAUACUUGAAAAAGAUAAUUAUUCCUAUAUAUCAUUCUACAAUGCUCUGCUACAUGAAGGGUAUAAAGAUCUUGCCUACCUUCUCCAUGGUGGCAUUCCUGUCCUAUCUUCUUCCAAUGGCAAAGAUUCAGUUGGAAUAACUUCAUAUGUAAGGACAGUCCUGUGUGAAGGUGGAGUACCACAGAGGCCCGUUGUUUUUGUUACUAGGAGGAAGCUAGUGAAUGCAAUUCAGCAGAAGCUCUUCAAACUGAGUGGUGAACCGGGAUGGGUCACCAUAUACGGAAUGGCAGGUUGUGGGAAGUCUGUAUUAGCUGCAGAAGCUGUUCGAGAUCAUUCUUUCUUAGAAGUUUGUUUCCCAGGGGGUGUGCAUUGGGUUUCAGUUGGGAAACAAGACAAAUCUGGGCUUCUGAUGAAACUGCAGAAUCUUUGCACACGGCUGGAUCAGGAUGAGAAUUUCUCCCAGAGGCUUCCACUUAAUAUUGAAGAGGCUAAAGACCGUCUCCGCAUUCUGAUGCUGCGCAAACAUCCAAGGUCUCUGUUGAUUUUGGAUGAUGUUUGGGAUCCUUGGGUGUUAAAAGCUUUUGACAAUCAGUGUCAGAUUCUUCUUACAACCAGAGACAAGAGUGUUACAGAUUCAGUAAUGGGUCCUAAAUAUGUAGUCCCUGUGGAGAGUGGUUUAGGAAAAGAAAAAGGACUUGAAAUUUUAUCCCUUUUUGUUAAUAUGAAGAAAGCAGAUUUGCCAGAACAAGCUCACAGUAUUAUAAAAGAAUGUAAAGGUUCACCUCUUGUAGUGUCUUUAAUUGGUGCACUUUUACGAGAUUUUCCCACCCGCUGGGAGUACUACCUCAGGCAACUUCAGAAUAAGCAAUUUAAGAAGAUAAGGAAAUCUUCAUCUUAUGAUUAUGAGGCUUUGGAUGAAGCCAUGUCUAUAAGUGUUGAAAUGCUCAGAGAAGACAUCAAAGAUUAUUACACAGAUCUUUCCAUCCUUCAGAAAGAUGUUAAGGUGCCUACGAAGGUGUUGUGUAUCCUCUGGGAUAUGGAAACUGAAGAAGUUGAAGACAUACUGCAGGAGUUUGUUAAUAAGUCUCUCUUGUUCUGUGAUCGAAAUGGAAAAUCAUUUCUUUAUUAUUUACAUGAUCUUCAAGUAGAUUUCCUUACACAGAAGAAUCACAGCCAGCUUCAGGAUCUACACAAGAAACUAAUCACUCAGUUCCAGAGACAUUUCCGGCUACAUUGUCUUUCACCAGAUCAGGAGGACUGCAUGUAUUGGUACAAUUUUCUGGCCUAUCACAUGGCUAGUGCUAAAAUGCACAAAGAACUGUGUGCUUUAAUGUUUUCCCUGGAUUGGAUUAAAGCAAAAACGGAGCUCGUAGGCCCUGCUCAUCUGAUUCAUGAAUUUGUGGAAUACAGGCAUAUGUUGGAUGAAAAGGAUGGUGCAGUCUGUGAGAAUUUCCAGGAGUUUUUAUCUUUAAAUGGACAUCUUCUUGGACGACAGCCAUUUCCUAAUAUUGUACAGCUGGGCCUCUGUGAACUGGAAACUUCAGAAGUUUAUCAGCAAGCUAAGCUGAAGGCCAAGCAGGAGGUCGAUAACGGAAUGCUUUACGUGGAAUGGAUAAACAAAGAAAACAUCAAGAAUCUCUCCCGCUUGGUCGUCCGCCCCCAUACAGAUGCUGUGUACCAUGCUUGCUUUUCUGAGGAUGGUCAAAGAAUAGCUUCUUGUGGAGCUGAUAAAAACUUGCAGGUUUUCAAAGCUGAAACAGGAGAGAAACUUCUAGAAAUCAAGGCUCAUGAGGAUGAAGUGCUUUGCUGUGCAUUCUCUGCAGAUGACAGAUUUAUAGCAACCUGCUCAGUGGAUAAAAAAGUGAAGAUUUGGAAUUCUACGUCUGGGGAACUAGUACAUACCUAUGACGAGCACUCAGAGCAAGUCAAUUGCUGCCACUUCACCAACAACAGUAAUCACCUUCUCUUAGCCACUGGUUCAGAUGACUGCUUCCUCAAACUCUGGGCUCUGAAUCAAAAAGAAUGUCGAAAUACCAUGUUUGGCCAUACAAAUUCAGUCAAUCACUGCAGAUUUUCACCAGAUGAUAAGCUUUUGGCUAGUUGUUCAGCUGAUGGAACAUUAAAGCUUUGGGAUGUGAAAUCAGCAAACGAGAGGAAGAGCAUUAAUGUGAAGCAGUUCUUCCUAAAUUCAGAGGAGCCUCAAGAGGAUAUGGAAGUGAUAGUGAAAUGCUGUUCAUGGUCUGCUGAUGGUGCUAGGAUAAUGGUGGCAGCAAAAAAUAAAGUCUUUCUGUUUGACAUUCACACCAGUGGCCUGUUGGCAGAAAUCCACACAGGCCAUCAUAGCACUGUCCAGUACUGUGACUUCUCCCCCCAUAACCAUUUGGCAGUGGUGGCUUUGCCCCAGUACUGCGUGGAGUUGUGGAAUAUGGACUCAUGUUUAAAAGUAGCUGAUUGUAGAGGACAUUUAAGUUGGGUCCAUUGUGUGAUGUUUUCUCCUGAUGGAUCAUCAUUUUUGACGUCUUCUGAUGACCAGACAAUCAGGCUCUGGGAGACAAAGAAAGUAUGUAAGAACUCUGCUAUAGCGUUAAAGCAAGAAAUAGAUGUUGUGUUUCAAGAAAAUGAAGUGAUGGUUCUUGCAGUUGAUGAUAUAAAACGUCUGCAACUCCUUAAUGGAAACACAGGUCAGAUUGAGUAUCUGACUGAAGCUCAAGUGAGUUGCUGUUGCUUAAGUCCACAUCUUCAGUACCUUGCAUUUGGAGGCGAAGAUGGAGCCAUUCGGAUUUUAGAAAUCCUAAACAACAGAAUCUUCCAAUCCAGGACUGGGCACAAGAACACUGUACGGCACAUCCAGUUCACAGCUGAUGCAAAGACUCUUAUCUCAAGCUCUGAUGACUCUGCAAUUCAGGUAUGGAAUUGGCAAUCAGAGGAAUAUGUCUUUCUGCAAGCCCAUCAGGAAACUGUGAAAGACUUUAGACUCUUGAAAAAUUCAAGACUGCUUUCCUGGUCGUUUGAUGGAACAGUGAAGGUAUGGAAUAUUAUUACUGGAAGAAUAGAAAAAGACUUUGUCUGUCAUCAGGAUACAGUUCUUUCUUGUGAUAUUUCUCCUGAUGCAACCAAGUAUUCUUCUACCUCUGCUGACAAGACUGCAAAGAUUUGGAGUUUUGAACUCCUUUCCCCUCUUCAUGAAUUGAGAGGCCACAAAGGCUGCGUGCGCUGCUCUGCCUUCUCUGUGGACAGUACCCUGUUGGCAACUGGAGAUGACAACGGAGAAAUCAGGAUAUGGAAUGUCUCAAAUGGUGAGCUUCUUCAUUUGUUUGCUCCGAUUUCAGUAGAAGAAGGAGCUGCUACUCACGGAGGCUGGGUGACUGACCUUUGCUUUUCUCCAGAUAGCAAAAUGCUUGUUUCUGCUGGAGGAUAUCUUAAGUUUGUCUCUGAUGCCUGGUGUGGCUGGCAUGGAGAAGAUCCUGUAAAGAAGAGAAUUCAUUUAUUCAUUUUUUCGUUCAGUACAUAUUUGUUGAGAACUGCCUGGCAUUUUUGUAGGUAUUGGGGAUAUAGCAGUGAGCAAAACAAAGUCCUUGCCCUCCUGCAGUUGGGGGCUAGGGAGAGACAGAAAAAAAGUCAGUCAGUCAAAUUUAUAGUGAUUAGUUGGUAUGUAAGUGAGGAGAGGAGGAGGGCUACAGUUCUAGAGGGAGCUGCUUGUUUGGAAGGUGACACUCGAGUUCAGACCUGAAAGGUGAGGGAGGGAGUGAGUCAGGCAAGUAUCUGGAGAGAGUCCCCAAGCAAGGGUACAGCAAGUGCAAAGACUGGAAAGUGGGACGGGUUGGUCUGUUCCAGAACCAGCAUGGAGGCUGGUGUGGCUGGAGAAGACUGAGCGAGGGGAGCUUAGUAGGAGGUGCAGCCAGCUCUGUGGAGGGUCUCCCAGGCCAUGGCGAGGAUGUCUACCCUGAUAUAGUAGCUAGCGCAGGAGUGUGAGCAGUGGGGAGAUCUGACGUAAGCUGUAACUUGAUCACUUUGGCGGUGGGAACCAGUUGAGGAUCAGCUGAAAGGAGGACAGGUGAGGAGGGAAGCAGGGAGACCAAUGAGAAGCUUUUACAAUAAUCUGGGCAAAAUGAAGGCGGCUAGACUGGGGUGGCGGCAGGAGAGGCUGUGACAAGUUGGAUUCUGGGUAUACUUUGACGGUAAGAGUUAAUAAGAGUUGCUAAUGGAUCGGAUACAGGUUGUGAGAGGGACAAGUCAAGAAUGAUACCAAGGUUUUGGCCUCCGGCUUGAACAACUGGAAGAAUAGAGUUGCUGUUAGCUGAGAUGAGAAGACUAUGUAAAAGGAGUGGGGUUUAGGACAAAGUAAGUUUGAGGUAGGUGUUAGGAAGACACCUGGGGCUGUUGAGUAGAUGGUUCUUUUAUAGGAAAAGUCUCUGAUGGAGAUAAAAAUCUGAGAGUCAUCAGUGAGUUGAUGGUAUUUAAAACCACAGGACCAGAUGCAACAAAAUGGGUGUAGAUAGACAAGACAGGAGACCCCAGACUGAGCCCAGGGCAGUCUGGAGGUUGGUGAGCUGAGGGACCGGCACAGGACACCGAGAAGAACCAGCAAGGACUAACAGUUGCAGCUUAGUGUGGGAUUGCUCUUGGAAGAAAAGCAGCAGGGGCCAUUCUGAUGGGAGCCAGACAGACAGAAGAGGUUGGGGGAUGCUUUGGAUUUGCCAGCACUUGGCCGCGGCUCAACCUAGUCUCAGUUCACAAGUGAUUCAAACACUGAGCAAGACACACACCACAGAGAGCUCAUGUGAGCACACAGCAAGACAGCAGCCACCAACAAGCCAAGCCAGGAGAAAAGGGCCUUAGAAUGAAACCUACCUUGCUGGCACCUUGAUCUUGGACUUCCCAGGACCUCCAGAACUGGGUUACGACUGGAAAGUCUUGGUUGCACUUUCUGUCACUGGUGCAGAAAGAACGUCCCCAGGAAUGGCCAGUGGCCUUUCGCCCGUGACAAGGCCACACAAACAGCA